rnacentral:rRNA from 1 species
CCUGAGAAACCCAAAAGAUCGAAUGGGGAGAUUCAUCGUCAGCUCAUUUUGUAUAUAUGCAAGUUGUGAUAUGGGUUACUACUUGUAGUAUUGCCUGUACAUUCUUGUAUAUUUAGUUGCAAGAUGUUGUCGGCGUGCACUUCUCCCCUAGUAGGACAUCGCGACCCGUUGAAUGUUGGUUUACGGCCCGAGUGGUAGCUUUUAAUGAAUUUUAUUCAUUGGAAACCCUUGGUGUUUUCUAACUGGCAUUCGUCGGUAUUCGUAUGGUAUUGAGCCGCAUAUAAUGUGUGCGUCCAUAUCCAUCGCAAGCGAGGUUAGUUACUGAUAGUACGGACCUAGUGCCGUCGUUGGUGCUAAUCAGCUGUUGGUUGUAUGGAAUUCUAGGACUGGCUUUUAAAUAAAAUACCGGUCAGCGAUGCUACUGCUUUGGG